rnacentral:misc_RNA from 1 species
GAUGAAGAACGUAGCGAAAUGCGAUACUUGGUGUGAAUUGCAGAAUCCCGUGAACCAUCGAGUCUUUGAACGCAAGUUGCGCCCGAAGCCGUCAGGCCGAGGGCACGCCUGCCUGGGCGUCACACGCCGUUGCCCCCCCGCGCCCCGCACCCAACGCUUUGGGAGCGACCGCGGGGCGGGCUGAUGAUGGCCUCCCGUGCGCUCCGCCGCGCGGUUGGCCCAAAUACCGAGUCCCCGGCGACGUGCGCCACGACGAUCGGUGGUUGAGAGACCUCUGUCGCAAGUCGUGCGCGCCCGUCGCGUCACGCGGGCUCGCAUAGCGCCUCGCGCCGCACCCGGUGCGGAGCUUUCAACGCGACCCCAGGUCAGGCGGGGUUACCCGCUGAAUUUAAGCAUAUCAAUAAGCGGGGA